UGGCUGUAACUAUAACGGUCCUAAGGUAGCAAAUUUCCUUGUCGUCUUAAUAACGACCUGCAUGAAACAUAGAACGAUUUGAUAGCUGUCUUGCACACACAUCAUGGUAAAAUAUAUUUACCAGAGUGAAGCUACUCUACGGAUAACAGGCUUAAUUUCCGCAAUAUCCAAGGUCACAUUAUCAAGAAUAAAGCACCUCGAUGUCGGCUUAUCUCAACCAAGGUAAGUAGCCCAAA
rnacentral:rRNA from 1 species